AGUGAACGCUGGCAGCGUGCCUAAUACAUGCAAGUCGAAAGGAGUGGCGCACGGGGGAGUAAUGUAGAGAUAAUCUGCCCUAAAAUAGAGGACAACAGUUGGAAACGGCUGCUAAUAGUCUAUAGUGUAGGAUGAGGCUAUAUUGUAUCAGCUAGUUGGUGAGGUAAUGGCUCACCAAGGCUAUGAUGCAUAACUGGUCUGAGAGGAUGAUCAGUCACACUUGAACUGAGACACGGUCCAGACUCCUACGGGAGGCAGCAGUAGGGAAUAUUGCUCAAUGGGGGAAACCCUGAAGCAGCAACGCCGCGUGGAGGAUGACACUUUUCGGAGCGUAAACUCCUUUUGUUAGGGAAGCGGUACCUAACGAAUAAGCACCGGCUAACUCCGUGCCAGCCGCCGCGGUAAUUC
rnacentral:rRNA from 1 species